UAUACAGUCUAUGCUUUUACCAAUUUCCCUCGCCUCAACCAGAGCUUCUAAAGCCAACUUUAAGCUAGCUAGCAAGUAGCCUAGCCAAGUUGACUUUAGAGACAGCUUUUCUGCACAAAUGUAGGAGUAGAUUUUUACUCUCAGAGGUGAGUAAUUGCAAGUUACAUUUACAGCAUUUCGUUUUCCGAAAGUAAAUUGCUCUCGUGGAACGUUUAGGCUGUUUGAAGGUAGCCAUGUUGCUGAAAUAAGGCUACCUAGCCUGCUUAACUUCAGGAGGUCAGUUUUGUAUUGCUACAGUUUGAAACAAUUAACAUGCGCUGUUUCAUAUUAGGCUACCUUUUUUUUUACUUAACAUUUCAUGGACAGUCUAUUAUUGUAUCCGCCCCCCCGGUUUUAAAAAUGUUGUAAGACCUAUCAUGUACACUAGUUUCUAUCUUUCAGAUCCAGGUGAUGCAUUUUACAGAAUCACAAUGGUGAAUCAAGUUAAUGGCCAAGCUAGCUGCUACACCAAAGCUUCUGAAUCUCUUCCAAGCCAAGGGUGGAACCAUAGGGUUGAGGUUGCAGGCCAUCCUACUCAAGGCUCCAACCAAUCCUAACGCUAACUUGACCAGAGAUGUUGUCAUCGGUGUUUCGGGGAUCUUUAGAUUAUCUUCUAAAAAAGUAUGAUGAUGCUGAUGAAGAUAGUGUGCCACAGGACCUUGCUGUACAAAAAAUGGAAAUAAACAGCAUCGAGACCAAUACAUCAGAGGGUCCCGAAGACGUUGGUAUCGUGGUAGAGGGAAUGAAAAUUCUGACUGCUCUGGAUAACUUUCCAAGGGCUUGCUCCAUACUCCUUGGGUGGACAUAUUCAGUGAAUCCAGCCUAUACCAAGGAGCCCAGAUAUGCGUUUGAAAUCCCCCAGAAACUCAUCUUUGAGCUGGACUGUUCAAAGCCAAAAGGUGAACAUUCUCAAGAACAAACUGCUAGCUUAGGAAAAUGGACCCUUGCAAAAUGAAAAGGAAUUGUUAAGUCUCUGUCAGAUGUCACAUGGUUACCUUCAAAUGCUUGAGUUGCUCAACCAUACUCAUUUUAAGAGAAGUGACUUUUUUUACUUAUAAUUGGAAAAAUUAUCUUGUGAUUCUACUGUUUACAACAAGGAUGCAAAUUGGACAUGAUUUAGUCAAAGAAUUUCAGUUACACAAAUGAGUAAUGUGAUCGUUCCAGUAGAAAUUAAUCCAAUUCUAUAUGCUGUGUCUCUUACAAGUCCAAAUGCAUUUUGCAUUUAAAAAAUGUUGGGUAAACCUGGGAGACAAAAUUGCACAAAUAAAUGAAAUGAUACAUGUUUACCUCUUAUUAUUUUUAUGCAUGGUGAUCUGUUGACAUAACUUAAGUAAAUUUUGGUAUUAUAAGAAGGUAUGAUAUUUAGUGAUUUAGAAGGCAUUAGACAAGGCACUGAAAUAUGAUUUAUAUAAUUAAUUUUAUUUAAUGAAUGCAAAUAACCUUCAUCCAGACAUUUAGUAAUCUUAUAACAAA